GACGAACGCUGGCGGCAUGCCUAACACAUGCAAGUCGAACGAGACCUUCGGGUCUGGUGUAGCCCGGGUGCGUAACGCGUGGGAACCUGCCCUUAAGUUCGGCAUAACUCCCCGAAAGGGGUGGUAAUCCCGGAUAAUGUCUUCGGACCACAGAUUUAUCGCCUUUGGAUGGGGCCGCGGUGGAUUAGCGAGGUGGUAGGGUAAAAGCCUACCAAGGCGCCGAGCCAGAGCUGGUCUGAGAGGAGGAUCAGCGACACUGGGACUGAGACACGGCCCAGACGCGUACGGGAGGCAGCAGUGGGGAAUAUUGGACAAUGGGCGAAAGCCUGAUCCAGCAAUGGCGCGUGAGUGAUGAAGGGCUUAGGGUUGUAAAGCUCCUUUACCCGGGAGGAUAAGGACAGUACCGGGAGAAUAAGCUCCGGCUAACUCGGG
rnacentral:rRNA from 1 species